rnacentral:rRNA from 1 species
AUUGAACGCUGACGGCAGGCUUAACACAUGCAAGUCGAGCGGAGCGAGGGUGCUUGCACCUUAGCUUAGCGGCGGACGGGUGAGUAAUGCUUAGGAAUCUGCCUAUUAGUGGGGGACAACAUUCCGAAAGGGAUGCUAAUACCGCAUACGCCCUACGGGGGAAAGCAGGGGAUCUUCGGACCUUGCGCUAAUAGAUGAGCCUAAGUCGGAUUAGCUAGUUGGUGGGGUAAAGGCCUACCAAGGCGACGAUCUGUAGCGGGUCUGAGAGGAUGAUCCGCCACACUGGGACUGAGACACGGCCCAGACUCCUACGGGAGGCAGCAGUGGGGAAUAUUGGACAAUGGGGGGAACCCUGAUCCAGCCAUGCCGCGUGUGUGAAGAAGGCCUUUUGGUUGUAAAGCACUUUAAGCGAGGAGGAGGCGCUCUA